rnacentral:rRNA from 1 species
GCUCCCUGAUGUUAGCGGCGGACGGGUGAGUAACACGUGGGUAACCUGCCUGUAAGACUGGGAUAACUCCGGGAAACCGGGGCUAAUACCGGAUGGUUGUUUGAACCGCAUGGUUCAAACAUAAAAGGUGGCUUCGGCUACCACUUACAGAUGGACCCGCGGCGCAUUAGCUAGUUGGUGAGGUAAUGGCUCACCAAGGCAACGAUGCGUAGCCGACCUGAGAGGGUGAUCGGCCACACUGGGACUGAGACACGGCCCAGACUCCUACGGGAGGCAGCAGUAGGGAAUCUUCCGCAAUGGACGAAAGUCUGACGGAGCAACGCCGCGUGAGUGAUGAAGGUUUUCGGAUCGUAAAGCUCUGUUGUUAGGGAAGAACAAGUACCGUUCGAAUAGGGCGGUACCUUGACGGUACCUAACCAGAAAGCCACGGCUAACUACGUGCCAGCAGCCGCGGUAAUACGUAGGUGGCAAGCGUUGUCCGGAAUUAUUGGGCGUAAAGGGCUCGCAGGCGGUUUCUUAAGUCUGAUGUGAAAGCCCCCGGCUCAACCGGGGAGGGUCAUUGGAAACUGGGGAACUUGAGUGCAGAAGAGGAGAGUGGAAUUCCACGUGUAGCGGUGAAAUGCGUAGAGAUGUGGAGGAACACCAGUGGCGAAGGCGACUCUCUGGUCUGUAACUGACGCUGAGGAGCGAAAGCGUGGGGAGCGAACAGGAUUAGAUACCCUGGUAGUCCACC